rnacentral:lncRNA from 1 species
GGGAGGAACCCCUAUAGAGUUCAAAGGAGGUCGAUCCCCUAAAGAGAUCAACCCCAAGUUUAAAAUCUACAAGGGUUCUAACACCUGGUUUCAUAGCAGCAUUCUUGGCGUCUCGCUGCCCUUCCAUAGCCAUCCAUCAGCCCUCAACAACUGCCCAAAGCAAUUCCCACAAUUGCUUAAAAGAUCGUUGCCAAAUUCCGCCGUCAUCUCCACCACCGCAGAUCAUCCUUUGAUCUCCCCGUGAAUUGCAACAGGUUCUAGUUUCCUACCUUACUGUUGCUGCAAUUUAGUUAUCCUUAUUCGAAAAUCC